rnacentral:rRNA from 1 species
GAUGAACGCUGGCGGCGUGCUUAACACAUGCAAGUCGAACGGUGAAGGCGGAGCUUGCUCUGCUGGAUCAGUGGCGAACGGGUGAGUAACACGUGAGCAAUCUGCCCCUGACUCUGGGAUAAGCGCUGGAAACGGCGUCUAAUACUGGAUACGAGCUGCGAAGGCAUCUUCAGCAGCUGGAAAGAACUUCGGUCAGGGAUGAGCUCGCGGCCUAUCAGCUUGUUGGUGAGGUAACGGCUCACCAAGGCGUCGACGGGUAGCCGGCCUGAGAGGGUGACCGGCCAAACUGGGAACGGAGAAAGGCCCAAACUCCUAAGGGAGGGAAGAGGGGGGAAAAAUGGAAAAUGGGCGGAAGGCUUAAGGAGCAAAGGCGCGGGAGGGAAGAAGGCCCUCGGGUUGGAAACCUCUUUUAGCAGGGAAGGAGGGAAAGUGAAGGUAACUGGAAAAAAAGGGCCGGCUAAAUAAGGU